CCAGUAGGCCGGGUGAUCGCGCCCUGGCAUGUAAGAUGCCGGGGUGAGGAAAGUCCGAGCUCCACCGGGCAGCGUGCUGGGUAACGCCCAGGCGGGGCAACCCGACGGAAAGUGCCACAGAAACACACC
rnacentral:ncRNA from 2 species